UAAUACGUAGGGGGCAAGCGUUGUCCGGAAUCAUUGGGCGUAAAGCGCGCGCAGGCGGUCCCUUAAGUCUGAUGUGAAAGCCCACGGCUCAACCGUGGAGGGCCAUUGGAAACUGGGGGACUUGAGUGCAGGAGAGGAGAGUGGAAUUCCUGGUGUAGCGGUGAAAUGCGUAGAGAUCAGGAGGAACACCGAUGGCGAAGGCAGCUCUCUGGCCUGUAACUGACGCUGAGGCGCGAAAGCGUGGGGAGCAAACAGGAUUAGAUACCCUGGUAGUCCACGCCGUAAACGAUGAGUGCUAGGUGUUAGAGGUUUUGAACCUUUAGUGCCGAAGUUAACACAUUAAGCACUCCGCCUGGGGAGUACGGUCGCAAGACUGAA
rnacentral:rRNA from 1 species